rnacentral:rRNA from 1 species
CCUAACACAUGCAAGUCGAGCGGUAACAGAAAGUAGCUUGCUACUUUGCUGACGAGCGGCGGACGGGUGAGUAAUGCUUGGGAACAUGCCUUGAGGUGGGGGACAACAGUUGGAAACGACUGCUAAUACCGCAUAAUGUCUACGGACCAAAGGGGGCUUCGGCUCUCGCCUUUAGAUUGGCCCAAGUGGGAUUAGCUAGUUGGUGAGGUAAUGGCUCACCAAGGCAACGAUCCCUAGCUGGUUUGAGAGGAUGAUCAGCCACACUGGGACUGAGACACGGCCCAGACUCCUACGGGAGGCAGCAGUGGGGAAUAUUGCACAAUGGGCGCAAGCCUGAUGCAGCCAUGCCGCGUGUGUGAAGAAGGCCUUCGGGUUGUAAAGCACUUUCAGUCAGGAGGAAAGGUUAGUAGUUAAUACCUGCUAGCUGUGACGUUACUGACAGAAGAAGCACCGGCUAACUCCGUGCCAGCAGCCGCGGUAAUACGGAGGGUGCGAGCGUUAAUCGGAAUUACUGGGCGUAAAGCGUACGCAGGCGGUUUGUUAAGCGAGAUGUGAAAGCCCCGGGCUCAACCUGGGAACUGCAUUUCGAACUGGCAAACUAGAGUGUGAUAGAGGGUGGUAGAAUUUCAGGUGUAGCGGUGAAAUGCGUAGAGAUCUGAAGGAAUACCGAUGGCGAAGGCAGCCACCUGGGUCAACACUGACGCUCAUGUACGAAAGCAUGGGGAGCAAACAGGAUUAGA